UCCAGGGCUGCUAAGGAAAAGAACAAGGCCAAGCAAGCUGCAAAGAAAUCAGUUACUGCACCAACAAAGUCACAGUCAAAACAACAGAAGCUGCAGAAAACGGCGAAGCAGCAGUCUAAAUCUGCAGCUCCUCGUGUUGGUGGAAAACGCUAAACAGAUUUAUGUUGUAAUAUAUGUUGAGAUGCUUGAUUAAAGCUUUGUGGAAAAAAACUCUAAAAA